GUUAUCAGAGCUGUAAAAAUGAAAACAAUGAUUUUGCAUGGUAUUAUUGUUUAUUUUCAAAUUGGUCACUGAAGUUAUUUCAUGGGAAAACUGAGGUGAGGGCGAGUAGGUCCCUGAGGAGAACCACUGCAAAGGCGGUCAAGGAGAUUCUGGGAGCAUCCUGCGAGCAACCUCUAGACCAGCCAGCAGGCACCUCUGACAAUGCCGCUGCCGGUGUCGACGCUGGCAGCCAUGGCCGGCGCCGAGCUGACGAGUUCCAACCUGGAAGAUCAGCGCGAGGGCCGGCAUUUGUUGCCGGCUUCGUGGCAUACAAGUGUCACCACAACGACGCCA